AACGAACGCUGGCGGCAUGCCUAACACAUGCCAGUCGAACGAGACCUUCGGGUCUAGUGGCGCACGGGUGCGUAACGCGUGGGAACCUGCCCUUAGGUUCGGAAUAACUCCCCGAAAGGGGUGCUAAUACCGGAUAAUGUCUUCGGACCAAAGAUUUAUCGCCUUUGGAUGGGCCCGCGUUGGAUUAGCUAGUUGGUAGGGUAAAAGCCUACCAAGGCGACGAUCCAUAGCUGGUCUGAGAGGAUGAUCAGCCACACUGGGACUGAGACACGGCCCAGAGUCCUAGGGGAGGCAGGAGUGGGGAAUAUUGGACGAUGGGGGGAAGCCUGAUCCAGCCAUACCGCGUGGGUGAAGAAGGCCUUCGGGUUGUAAAGCCCUUUUGUUGGGAAAGAAAAGCAGCAGGUUAAUACCCCGCUGUUCUGACGGUACCCAAAGAAUAAGCACCGGCUAACUUCGUG
rnacentral:rRNA from 1 species